CUACGGGAGGCAGCAGUGGGGAAUUUUGGACAAUGGGGGCAACCCUGAUCCAGCCAUGCCGCGUGCGGGAAGAAGGCCUUCGGGUUGUAAACCGCUUUUAGUCGGGAAGAAAAGGCGAGGGUUAAUAGCUCUUGUUCUUGACGGUACCGGCGGAAUAAGCACCGGCUAACUACGUGCCAGCAGCCGCGGUAAUACGUAGGGUGCGAGCGUUAAUCGGAAUUACUGGGCGUAAAGCGUGCGCAGGCGGUUUGUUAAGUCUGAUGUGAAAGCCCCGGGCUCAACCUGGGAAUGGCAUUGGAAACUGGCAAGCUGGAGUGUGGCAGAGGGGGGUGGAAUUCCGCGUGUAGCAGUGAAAUGCGUAGAGAUGCGGAGGAACACCGAUGGCGAAGGCAGCCCCCUGGGCCGACACUGACGCUCAGGCACGAAAGCGUGGGGAGCAAACAGGAUUAGAAACCCGAGUAGUCC
rnacentral:rRNA from 1 species